UGACUUAAAUGCUCGCAACAACGGUGGUACGACAGCAAGUGAACUCCAACAUACCGAGCAUCUGCACAACUCAGUCCCUCUCUCUCAAUAUCAUUUUAACGUCUCUUCGCUAAGGUAGCGAGUAGAGACAACCAAGAGCCAGCCAAACUACACCCCUCCCUUUCCCCCCCCUGGUGUAGUUUGGGGUGGGGCGAGCGACAAGACCACACAACCAACCCCCCUAGAGGUAACGCCCUGAGACCCCGGCUUCUAAAGUAAAUCGUCCUAGCAAUCGCAGGACCCGCUAAGGCGAGAAGCAGGCACUCAGUUGCGGGGCCGCACAUUGCGGUCGUGACGAUGAGGAUCAAGGUAUCGCUCCAGCACCGCCGGAGUCCGAAGCUGACUGAACUCCAUCAGGGCGGGAACUCCCGCACCGGCCGACGCAGCGGCCUGCAGGGCACCACGGCGGAAACUGUGCACAGUUUCCCCGUCGUACAACUGAGCAGCCCGCAGGUGUAGCCGUAACCGCGCGGCAAGAGUGGCGCUCUGCAGCGCUUCCGCCUUGAAAGCCCGCUGGUCAGCCGUCAGCGGGCGAAACAGCGUGUCUUGGACAGCGCUCCCAGGGGGGGCACCAGGCUGGGCACAAGACCACAUGUAAAAAGCCAGAGUACGCGGAAUGCAGAAAGGGGGGUCCUCACUGUUGGGCCGCAGCAGCACCGCGGGGCCACGCACCAGCCGAUAGGUCUUAGUUCCCCGCUGACGGAAGCAGAGGGUAGGACAUCCACCAGGACCCCAGGACCAUGGCGGAGGUAGCGGGAACCCAGAGUACGGCCGGUCGGGCUGCGAAGGUUCGACGAAGUCACCCACCCCCAGCUUCCCGAUAUCGUGACCCCUCUGGGCAGUCNNNNNNNNNNNNNNNNNNNNNNNNNNNNNNNNNNNNNNNNNNNNNNNNNNCACCUGUUUGGCCCGAUGGUGGAGAGCUAGACUGGCAACGCUACCCAUCAAGGCACGGAGGCGUCUGCCACACAGCCCCACCCUUUUCAGGCCGGGGCCCCAGGUCCCGGGCGGUGCGGAGAGAAAACCGAAGGCCCCGAGUUAUGCGGUCGAAGUAGUGUACAUUCUGUGGUAAGGGCAAGGCCCGACUAGGCCGAGAGUACGACGGAGCUGAUAGAAAGCGAGGACCCAAAGAAGCCAGAGACGUGGCUAGACUGAGACUGGCAGGCGAGCCGCAAGGCGGUGUGGCUGGGAUGUGGUGUGGCCUGAUUAAACAUUGGGAUCGGGUGUAAGGCUGGACGCAAAGGCCCACUUCACGCUAGUCCGGUACGGAGCGACGAGCAUUUACAUUCAAGCACUUACAGAGACUUAAAUGCUCGCAACAACGGUGGUACGACAGCAAGUGAACUCCAACAUACCGAGCAUCUGCACAACUCAGUCCCUCUCUCUCAAUAUCAUUUUAACGUCUCUUCGCUAAGGUAGCGAGUAGAGACAACCAAGAGCCAGCCAAACUACACCCCUCCCUUUCCCCCCCCUGGUGUAGUUUGGGGUGGGGCGAGCGACAAGACCACACAACCAACCCCCCUAGAGGUAACGCCCUGAGACCCCGGCUUCUAAAGUAAAUCGCCCUAGCAAUCGCAGGACCCGCUAAGGCGAGAAGCAGGCACUCAGUUGCGGGGCCGCACAUUGCGGUCGUGACGAUGAGGAUCAAGGUAUCGCUCCAGCACCGCCGGAGUCCGAAGCUGACUGAACUCCAUCAGGGCGGGAACUCCCGCACCGGCCGACGCAGCGGCCUGCAGGGCACCACGGCGGAAACUGUGCACAGUUUCCCCGUCGUACAACUGAGCAGCCCGCAGGUGUAGCCGUAACCGCGCGGCAAGAGUGGCGCUCUGCAGCGCUUCCGCCUUGAAAGCCCGCUGGUCAGCCGUCAGCGGGCGAAACAGCGUGUCUUGGACAGCGCUCCCAGGGGGGGCACCAGGCUGGGCACAAGACCACAUGUAAAAAGCCAGAGUACGCGGAAUGCAGAAAGGGGGGUCCUCACUGUUGGGCCGCAGCAGCACCGCGGGGCCACGCACCAGCCGAUAGGUCUUAGUUCCCCGCUGACGGAAGCAGAGGGUAGGACAUCCACCAGGACCCCAGGACCAUGGCGGAGGUAGCGGGAACCCAGAGUACGGCCGGUCGGGCUGCGAAGGUUCGACGAAGUCACCCACCCCCAGCUUCCCGAUAUCGUGACCCCUCUGGGCAGUCUGCCACAGGAGAAGCACGCACAACAGGUCCCGCAGGAAGACCAGUCGGGGCAAAGCUUCAUCAGUCACCACCACCUGCGACCACAAGUAACCCACGAGAGCACGGUACUUGUCAUAAGACAAGGGUACUGCCGAAACCUCGG
rnacentral:lncRNA from 1 species